rnacentral:rRNA from 1 species
GAGCGGCGCGACGCGGGGGCGUAGGGCGGUUAUCGUUUAUUUGAUAGUACCUUACUACAUGGAUAACCGUGGUAAUUCUAGAGCUAAUACAUGCUAAAAACCCCGACUCCGGGAGGGGUGUAUUUAUUAGAUAAAAAACCAACGCCCUUCGGGGCUCCUUGGUGAUUCAUAAUAACUCAACGAAUCGCAUGGCCUUGCGCCGGCGAUGGUUCAUUCAAAUUUCUGCCCUAUCAACUUUCGAUGGUAGGAUAGUGGCCUACCAUGGUAUCAACGGGUAACGGGGAAUUAGGGUUCGAUUCCGGAGAGGGAGCCUGAGAAACGGCUACCACAUCCAAGGAAGGCAGCAGGCGCGCAAAUUACCCAAUCCCGACACGGGGAGGUAGUGACAAUAAAUACUGAUACAGGGCUCUUUUGGGUCUUGUAAUUGGAAUGAGUACAAUUUAAAUCCCUUAACGAGGAACAAUUGGAGGGCAAGUCUGGUGCCAGCAGCCGCGGUAAUUCCAGCUCCAAUAGCGUAUAUUAAAGUUGUUGCAGUUAAAAAGCUCGUAGUUGAACCUUGGGCCUGGCUGGCCGGUCCGCCUCACCGCGUGCACUGGUCCGGCCGGGCCUUUCCUUCUGGGGAUCCGCAUGCCCUUCACUGGGUGUGCCGGGGAACCAGGACUUUUACUGUGAAAAAAUUAGAGUGUUCAAAGCAGGCCUUUGCUCGAAUACAUUAGCAUGGAAUAAUAGAAUAGGACGGCGUUUCUAUUUUGUUGGUUUCUAGGAUCGCGU